CCUACGGGUGGCAGCAGUAGGGAAUUUUCCACAAUGGGCGAAAGCCUGAUGGAGCAACGCCGCGUGGGUGAAGAAGGUCUUCGGAUCGUAAAACCCUGUUGUUAGAGAAGAAAGUGCGUGAGAGUAACUGUUCACGUUUCGACGGUAUCUAACCAGAAAGCCACGGCUAACUACGUGCCAGCAGCCGCGGUAAUACGUAGGUGGCAAGCGUUAUCCGGAUUUAUUGGGCGUAAAGGGAACGCAGGCGGGCUUUUAAGUCUGAUGUGAAAGCUUGCGGCUUAACCGGAGAAGUGCAUUGGAAACUGGGAGGCUUGAGUGCAGAAGAGGAAAGUGGAACUCCAAGUGUAGCGGUGAAAUGCGUAGAUAUAAGGAAGAACACCGGUGGCGAAGGCGGCUCUCUGGUCUGUAACUGACGCUGAGGUUCGAAAGCGUGGGUAGCAAACAGGAUUAGAUACCCUUGUAGUC
rnacentral:rRNA from 1 species